GACCGCAUAGCUCAGCGGCAGAGCCCCUGCCUGGCAUGCAGAAGGCCCUGGGUUCAAUCCCUCUGCCAGUCA